AGCUCUCAGCUAUGGGCCUGACAUUCGUUUUCUGCUAACAGUGACAUGAACAAAACUUUGUUUGUCUCAAGAUUCAUGAGAAGUGAAUACAAAAUGGGUGAAGAUCAAUAAAAUCCUACUUUUAUGGUAACUUCCUAAAGCACCAGAAAUAAAGAGUUAUCAUUUCAGUCACAUUAAAGGAGCAAAAAGGGACAAUUGUAUGCCGAGACAUCGAAAGCAGUUACUAAUCCAAUACUUCCAGAUGAAAUAUUCAGACCUUCAAUAAAGGAGAAGAAAGAAGUUAGAAAUGAAUGGCUUCCAGACUGUCACCUGAGUCACUGCCAAAUUUUAUCCUAUGUAAAGUAAAGAAACUCAACAUCUGCAACAGAAAUAGAGAAUAAACACCAUCAGCUGAAGACGCAAAUGAAUUCAGAAAAUCUUUGAUUCCAAAUUUCUGUUCUUAAGUCUCUCCACUGCUCUAUGCACCAG